rnacentral:rRNA from 1 species
GACGAACGCUGGCGGCGUGCUUAACACAUGCAAGUCGAACGAUGAAGCGGGUGCUUGCACUCGUGGAUUAGUGGCGAACGGGCGAGUAACACGUGAGUAACCUGUCCUUUUCUUUGGGAUAACGGCUGGAAACGGCUGCUAAUACUGGAUAUUCAGGCUGCAUCGCAUGGUGUGGUUUGGAAAGGUUUUUUCUGGGAUUGGGUGGGCUCGCGGCCUAUCAGCUUGUUGGUGGGGUGAUGGCUUACCAAGGCUUUGACGGGUAGCCGGCCUGAGAGGGUGGUCGGUCGCACUGGGACUGAGAUACGGCCCAGACUCCGACGGGAGGCAGCAGUGGGGAAUAUUGCACAAUGGACGAAAGUUUGAUGCAGCGACGCCGCGUGGAGGGUGUAGGCCUUCGGGUUGUGAACUCCUUUUUCUCGCGAAAAAGGCACAGGUUUGGCUGUGUUGAUGGUAGUGGGGGAAGAAGCGCCGGCUAACUACGUG